ensembl:lncRNA
AGCAUACUGAAUGAAGAGGAAAUGCUCUAUCGUUUGCAAUAAUCGCCAAGACACGAUCUGCGAUAAUGGCUACCAAUCACUCUUGUCUACCCUGCACUUUUGUUGCGAUAUCUGGAGACAACUUCUAUUUUCAAGUUAACGACGAUGAAACAGGUAAUGUGUUUAAUGUGUUAAAAUGUCAUUACUUGUCUGCAGAUAGUCUCGAUUUAAAUGGCCCAGGCCAUACCAUUGACAAUAAGUACGUGUGGAAGCUAUACAUUUGCAUUAAUGUUGAUCUUUCAUACAGAUUUGCAGUGUGAUUCAUAUCAAAUAGCCACAACAUCCAAGGCCAAGCAUUGUCUCCUAGUCCAAGACAACUGCUUUCUCUCAGUUACUGGAGAACAGUGUCACUUUGUGCAUUUAAACAGGGAGGAAGGAGGACCUGGUAAGUGUUAUGUAUCCAUGACAGUGUUUACGGCAUGCCCGUAUUUUGAUAGCAUGCCUGUAUUUUAAUGUAACGGAUGACGUGUUUCCGGUGAGUGUGUCCGUUGGGAUAAGUUUGAGUAAACAGUUGAACUCAUGAGGCUCCCGUGUUUCGCGUAGUGUUUGCACACACAACAGUAAGGUACACUGACACCAGUACUUAGUGAUUCUGGUGGUAGUGCUUACCUACUCCUUAUCAUAUAUAUUAAAACUACACUAAUCAAUAAGAAGUACACGGUCUGACAGACGGAAUAACGUGCGCUUCUUCUUCCUUUCAGACUGUCAGUUCAUCGUUCAACCGUUCAACGAGACCCCGGACUCCCCCCACUCUGAGGCUAGAGGAAGGGCCGUCACCCUGGCUGUUAGGGAGGAGAGCAAGUACAAGGUGGUGUCCUGUCGGGAGGGCAGCAACGACAUCAAGGUGGAGAUCAUGAAUAAACUUCCAGAGACAGUCGGCGACACUGACUGCUGGUUCUUGUUCUACAUGAAGGACUGUAUUGGGAGGAGUGGGCACUACCUGUUCGUGUCCGCUGCCAAGCCGAAAUUCGCCCUGGCCAUCGAACCGGAACAAGGGACUACCCGAAUAAACAAACUAGUGUUGCGACAAUUAGAUGAUGAGGUGGACGAGGGCUGCCACAUUGCAGUGCCUCCAGGGCGU